UACGAAGGGGGCUAGCGUUGCUCGGAAUCACUGGGCGUAAAGCGCACGUAGGCGGCUUUUUAAGUCAGGGGUGAAAUCCUGGAGCUCAACUCCAGAACUGCCUUUGAUACUGAGAGCUUGAGUCCGGGAGAGGUGAGUGGAACUGCGAGUGUAGAGGUGAAAUUCGUAGAUAUUCGCAAGAACACCAGUGGCGAAGGCGGCUCACUGGCCCGGUACUGACGCUGAGG
rnacentral:rRNA from 1 species